AUGCGCGCUUCCUUGCGCGAGCCGGGCUGUUGGGUGUGUUUUGCUUUCCAGUCUCCGUCGUCUGUGCAGCACCCCGGGUUCUCCUCCAGAGCGCUAGUCCCAGGAGCUCGGAAUGUUCGUGGAACUUAAUAACCUGCUUAACACUACCCCCGACAGGGCGGAGCAGGGUGUCAGCCUGACCAUGGCGCGGGAGCGUGGGCAGCUUGUGUUCCUCGAGGGACUCAAGUCUGCAGUGGACGUCGUCUUCCAGGCUCAAAAGGAGCCACAACCCCUGCAGUUUCUCAGGGAGGCUAAUGCUGGGAACUUGAAACCAUUGUUUGAGUUUGUACGGGAGGCCCUAAAGCCAGUAGACAGUGGAGAGGCUCGGUGGACGUACCCGGUGCUGCUGGUGGAUGACCUCAGUGUGCUCCUGAGCCUGGGCAUGGGGGCGGUGGCCGUGCUAGACUUCAUUCACUACUGCAGAGCCACCGUGUGCUGGGAACUAAAG
rnacentral:sRNA from 1 species